UGAGGUUAGUUGUAGCACC
rnacentral:miRNA from 1 species